AUACGGAAGGUCCGGGCGUUAUCCGGAUUUAUUGGGUUUAAAGGGAGCGCAGGCCGAAGGUUAAGCGUGACGUGAAAUGUAGCCGCUCAACGGCUGUACUGCGUCGCGAACUGGCUUUCUUGAGUGAGUUCGAUGUGGGCGGAAUUCGUGGUGUAGCGGUGAAAUGCUUAGAUAUCACGAAGAACUCCGAUUGCGAAGGCAGCCCACAAGGCCUUUACUGACGCUAAAGCUCGAAGGUGCGGGUAUCGAACAGGAUUAGAUACCCUGGUAGUCCGCACGGUAAACGAUGGAUGCCCGCUGUUUGCGAUAUACUGUGAGCGACCAAGAGAAAUCGUUAAGCAUCCCACCUGGGGAGUACGCCGGCAACGGUGAAACUCAAAUGAAUUGACGGGG
rnacentral:rRNA from 1 species